rnacentral:rRNA from 1 species
UUAAAUUGAAGAGUUUGAUCAUGGCUCAGAUUGAACGCUGGCGGCAGGCCUAACACAUGCAAGUCGAACGGUAACAGGAAGCAGCUUGCUGCUUCGCUGACGAGUGGCGGACGGGUGAGUAAUGUCUGGGAAACUGCCUGAUGGAGGGGGAUAACUACUGGAAACGGUAGCUAAUACCGCAUAACGUCGCAAGACCAAAGAGGGGGACCUUCGGGCCUCUUGCCAUCGGAUGUGCCCAGAUGGGAUUAGCUUGUUGGUGGGGUAACGGCUCACCAAGGCGACGAUCCCUAGCUGGUCUGAGAGGAUGACCAGCCACACUGGAACUGAGACACGGUCCAGACUCCUACGGGAGGCAGCAGUGGGGAAUAUUGCACAAUGGGCGCAAGCCUGAUGCAGCCAUGCCGCGUGUAUGAAGAAGGCCUUCGGGUUGUAAAGUACUUUCAGCGGGGAGGAAGGGAGUAAAGUUAAUACCUUUGCUCAUUGACGUUACCCGCAGAAGAAGCACCGGCUAACUCCGUGCCAGCAGCCGCGGUAAUACGGAGGGUGCAAGCGUUAAUCGGAAUUACUGGGCGUAAAGCGCACGCAGGCGGUUUGUUAAGUCAGAUGUGAAAUCCCCGGGCUCAACCUGGGAACUGCAUCUGAUACUGGCAAGCUUGAGUCUCGUAGAGGGGGGUAGAAUUCCAGGUGUAGCGGUGAAAUGCGUAGAGAUCUGGAGGAAUACCGGUGGCGAAGGCGGCCCCCUGGACGAAGACUGACGCUCAGGUGCGAAAGCGUGGGGAGCAAACAGGAUUAGAUACCCUGGUAGUCCACGCCGUAAACGAUGUCGACUUGGAGGUUGUGCCCUUGAGGCGUGGCUUCCGGAGCUAACGCGUUAAGUCGACCGCCUGGGGAGUACGGCCGCAAGGUUAAAACUCAAAUGAAUUGACGGGGGCCCGCACAAGCGGUGGAGCAUGUGGUUUAAUUCGAUGCAACGCGAAGAACCUUACCUGGUCUUGACAUCCACAGAACCUUGUAGAGAUACGAGGGUGCCUUCGGGAACUGUGAGACAGGUGCUGCAUGGCUGUCGUCAGCUCGUGUUGUGAAAUGUUGGGUUAAGUCCCGCAACGAGCGCAACCCUUAUCCUUUGUUGCCAGCGGUCCGGCCGGGAACUCAAAGGAGACUGCCAGUGAUAAACUGGAGGAAGGUGGGGAUGACGUCAAGUCAUCAUGGCCCUUACGACCAGGGCUACACACGUGCUACAAUGGCGCAUACAAAGAGAAGCGACCUCGCGAGAGCAAGCGGACCUCAUAAAGUGCGUCGUAGUCCGGAUUGGAGUCUGCAACUCGACUCCAUGAAGUCGGAAUCGCUAGUAAUCGUGGAUCAGAAUGCCACGGUGAAUACGUUCCCGGGCCUUGUACACACCGCCCGUCACACCAUGGGAGUGGGUUGCAAAAGAAGUAGGUAGCUUAACCUUCGGGAGGGCGCUUACCACUUUGUGAUUCAUGACUGGGGUGAAGUCGUAACAAGGUAACCGUAGGGGAACCUGCGGUUGGAUCACCUCCUUACCUUAAAGAAGC